rnacentral:rRNA from 1 species
GAUGAACGUUGACAGAAUGCUUAACACAUGCAAGUCUACUUGAAUUUGGGUUUUUUAACUUCGAUUUGGGUGGCGGACGGGUGAGUAACGCGUAAAGAACUUGCCCCACAGUUAGGGACAACAUUUGGAAACGAAUGCUAAUACCUGAUAUUAUGAAUAUAUGGCAUCAUAUAAUUAUGAAAGCUAUAAGCGCUGUGAGAGAGCUUUGCGUCCCAUUAGCUAGUUGGAGAGGUAACGGCUCACCAAGGCGAUGAUGGGUAGCCGGCCUGAGAGGGUGAACGGCCACAAGGGGACUGAGACACGGCCCUUACUCCUACGGGAGGCAGCAGUGGGGAAUAUUGGACAAUGGACCAAGAGUCUGAUCCAGCAAUUCUGUGUGCACGAUGACGUUUUUCGGAAUGUAAAGUGCUUUCAGUUGGGAAGAAAAAAAUGACGGUACCAACAGAAGAAGUGACGGCUAAAUACGUG